rnacentral:sRNA from 1 species
GUCCUCAGAGUUGCCUGAUUGGAAAAAUCUCCAGGGCGAGGGAUCAGUCUCGAGGCUGCCGGUUCCCCUGGCCCUCAGGGAUGGAGCCAAGGACCCGAGUCGGCCCCCUUUUGGUACUCCCAGAUGCUUGCAAACAACCUAUUCGUCCUCGGCCUUGGUGCCAUAGCCGAAAUACCGUCUCCUCCUGCCUGGGAACAAGAGGAAAGUAUGGGGAAGGAGCCAAGCAGGAGACGUUCACCUUUGCCUUAACUUUGGUCUUCAUUCAAUGUGUGAUUAAUGCUGUGUUUGCCAAGAUCUGGUGGAUCGUACCCGGAGCUGGCUCUAUGCUGCCUGUUCUAUCUCCUAUCUGGGUGCCAUGGUCUCCAGCAAUUCAGCACUACAGUUUGUCAACUACCCAACUCAGGUGAAACCUCAGGGUGGGAUGACGGUUGGCUCAGAUAUCAUUUGAAAAGGACUAAGAGUUCUUCCCUCAGGUCUGUGAGUUAAAAAAAAAAAAAAAAAAAAAAAAAAAGAUAACGGUCCUGUAAGACAUUAGGAGUGUAUAGAACCAUAGAACUUAGGUUUAGUGGUGGUGGGUUGGGCCAUGAUAGGGCUGCUUUCUGAGGCUGAGGUCUCUGGUGCAGGCCCUGUGCUUACUCAUCUUAAUCAGUGCGGUACCUAGCAUAGUACCUGACACAUCACAGAUGCUCAGAAAUUAUUUGCUGGAUUUAAUUUCAGGUCCUUGGUAAAUCCUGCAAGCCAAUCCCAGUCAUGCUCCUUGGGGUGACCCUCUUGAAGAAGAAGUACCCGUUGGCCAAGUACCUGUGUGUGCUGUUAAUUGUGGCUGGAGUGGCCCUUUUCAUGUACAAACCCAAGAAAGUUGUUGGGAUAGAAGAACACACAGUCGGCUAUGGAGAGCUACUCUUGCUAUUAUCGCUGACCCUGGAUGGACUGACUGGUGUUUCCCAGGACCACAUGCGGGCUCAUUACCAAACAGGCUCCAACCACAUGAUGCUGAACAUCAACCUUUGGUCGACAUUGCUGCUGGGAAUGGGAAUCCUGUUCACUGGGGAGCUCUGGGAGUUCUUGAGCUUUGCUGAAAGGUACCCUGCCAUCAUCUAUAACAUCCUGCUCUUUGGGCUGACCAGUGCCCUGGGUCAGAGCUUCAUCUUUAUGACGGUUGUGUAUUUUGGUCCCCUGACCUGCUCCAUCAUCACUACAACUCGAAAGUUCUUCACAAUUUUGGCCUCUGUGAUCCUCUUCGCCAAUCCCAUCAGCCCCAUGCAGUGGGUGGGCACUGUGCUUGUGUUCCUGGGUCUUGGUCUUGAUGCCAAGUUUGGGAAAGGAGCUAAGAAGACAUCCCACUAGGAAGAGAGAGACUACCUCCACAUCAAGAAUAUUUAAGUUAUUAUCUCAAACAGUGACAUCUCUUGGGAAAAUUGACUUAAUAGGAAUAUGGGACUGAGUUCCAGUCUUUUUUAAUAAAAUAAAAUCAAGCAAAAUCA